AUGAUUUGUGCAGAAAGCCGAAUGAUUAUUGAUUACAGGAUCCUUAUGGGCGGAUGCAUCUGCGUUGCCUGCUGGAUGAAUGCCCCAGCCAUGCUUGCUCCCAGCUCAUCCUGGAAGACUUUAGGAGGAUGCUGGUUAGCUGGUAAACCCUCCUGGGGACUAUUUAGUCAUGUACCCCACUGUGGAGUGGUUGCAGAUUUUUUUUUCCUGCUUUCUGGGAAGUGUGCUUUGAGAAACUGCUUGCAAAAAGGUAGAUCCAAAGCACAGCCUGGCCAAACCACCUGUGGAGCAGGGUGGUGCAUGUGUAUGCUGCAUGCUAGAGUAUGUGAAAUCAGAAAAAUACAAAUUUAUCAGACAGCAGCUGUGGGAAAGCAGUGUGGGCUGCCAUGAUGCCAUUGUAAUCAUGUACAGCUGUCCUCAGUGGUAACACUCACACUAAAGCUGCACAUGGAUAACCCUUCUCCUGUUGACCAAAUCUAUAUACCUCAAACAGUCUCAUUGCUUGGUGGCCUUCCAAAAUCCAGGUCCCCACAAAACUAGCAUGUUUGAAUCAAAAAAGAAAAGAAAAAAAGAAAAAAAGGGGGGGUUCGGGGGGGGGGGGGGGAAGGAAGGGCUGGCCUGUGGCAAUAGCCCUAUAUUAGAAGCAGGAAGUCUGAAGCUGUCUGCUGUGAUCUGGGGGAAGCAUUUUUGUGCUUCUGCUCCUCAUCUGUAAACAGAGAUGGUUUCAGUUUUUGUGUGUGCUUAGGCUGUGGCAGCACGGGCUUGCUCAUGGUGCAAGCAGCUACAGGCUUACUGCAGAGGGAUCCUGCAGCUGCCUGACACCUCCAGGCUCUGCUGUAAUGUUGGCAACUGAGAACCGGGUCAUAUGUAGCUCUCCAGAUGAUGGGGAUUUGCAAUUCCUUAGAACAUACAGAAAAAUCUCCCUGGGGGAGUAAAGACUGUAUUUAGUUUUCACUCCUCCAAUGUGCAAGAAACCUUCUCAGGGUUUUAAGUUAGGAAGGGAUUUAUGGUAGAAGUUAUUAUAUGACAUAAUUACUUGUAACAGCAGGGGACCAAAUGCAAGUAAAAGGAUGGGGGAGGCCGUGUUAGGGCAGCGUGACUGUGAUUUGGCUGUGUGCUUGUUUGUACAUAGCAUCUAAUCACUUGUCUAUAGCUAUGCAGCACUGGAAUCCUGCAGAAAUACUGUAUCUCUAUCCUCAAAAAU
rnacentral:lncRNA from 1 species